GUUGCUUUUCUCUUGUUACAAAAGCCUCAAUUUGUAGGCCUAAUUUACAAGUUUCUGAUGGGGCACCAGAUAUAGGAAGUAGAAGGUCCAACAUGGUGAGGUCUUGUGAGUUCUUGAACACACUUAUGAGUAGUAUAUCUGGUGUCUUGCAUUUUUGUGACUCACUUGUGUGGAUUAGCUCCCUAAUUAUGGAAAUGAAAGGUGUAAUUCCACUUCCUCCACUCACCAUAACCAAUAAAUCAUGCCUACAACAAUGAAAAAAAGAGAACUUUAGUUUUAUCAUGUUAACAUAUAGUAGUACACAACUGAGACAGAUCUUGGAUGGGUUCUGUGAAUAAAGUUCGACUUGAACUAGGCAUACAUAUGAUAAGUCCAAUUACCAUUUAGAAUAUUUUGCAUACAUACCUUAGAAAAUGUGUGGAAGCAGGUCCAUAAGGUCCUUCAACAGAGACAUUAAGACGAUCGACAGAAUUAGGGGAAGAGAUCAUCUGGUAAAGUUUCUUGGACCAACUUCCUUCACCCUUAAUCGCAACACUGAUCUUCUCCGGCUCCAAGUUACUGCUUGAAGUGAUUGUAAAAGGAUGCCAUUGCAGUUUUGAAAUGCUUGGUACAUUCACAAACAUGAUGCUUGUUGGUGUAUAACUUAAGCCUGUGUAUUUUAAACAGCAAAAGGAUCAAAAUUGUCAAUUUGACUAUGUUAAUCCUGCUAUAUCACCUACAAGAAAAACACAAAUUUGCAACGGAAUAUUGUUCUGUGAUAGAGAUCCAUCACAAAUUUUCCCCGUCACAACUCUUUGUUUUUUUCUUGUGGUGAAUUCCCAAGUGUAAAUAUAUGAAAUUUCUUCAAUUUACCUUUACACUUGGAGAAAUUCAGCUCAAGAGUUUCGCACGGUAGAACCCGAGCAGAGACUAAACGGACAUUUGAUCGCGACUGUAAGAAUCUCAAGUAUCUAUCAACCAUGAAGAGGUAGAAACCGGGAAGCAUAAUGCCAGCAUAAGAGAUGCCAACAUGGAAGACGAAGAAGACGACGAAGAGGAUGUAGAAAUGAUGAGUGUAGAAGAAGAGCUCAAACAUCUUUCUCCUAAUUCGAGGAAAUGUUGCUACCCACAACACCAAUCCAGAAAGCAAUGACAAUUCUCCAGCCAAAUUUGAGAUAUCUGUUUUUGCCCAUUUCAGCAUCUGUUUCAUUUCAAUCAAGACUCAUUAACUAAUUAGAAAUUGAACUUAAUUGGAGUUAGUACUGUAAUUUUUGAACAUUAUUUUGCCUAUUAUCUAUUGUUUAUUGUGCUUUUCUUGCUAACAAAGCUUGAUGCGUAACAACUUUCUAUGUAAUUAAAGUAUUUCUGAAGAGACAGUUUUCACAGUUAGAACUGUGACCAACUCCUCCUGAUCACAUUGCAAUAACUUUACUGAUUAUACUAACGCUCUCCUCCUAUUAUAAGGUCUAUAGUUAAUGAAUAUAUUACCUCAGACAAUUGAUGAGUGGCAGCCCAAUAGACAAUGUAACAAACGCCAUGAGCAGAGAAAAGAGUCAUUACAAUAUGGCCAAGCCAUAUAUGGUAUUUAACACUAGCUUCAGAGGUCAAACCAAAGACUUGCAGAACUGAAGAGCCUCUUGUGACUGGAACAAACAGGAACGUUAGGGCUAUAUUUCCAACAAGUCCAAAUAUCAGUCCUGAAUAUUCCAUCUUGGCUUCCCAUCUGUCAUUAACCAAUCCAAAAUGUAAUUUUAAGUCUGAAAUCAAUCCAAAAUGUAUAUGUAAUACUCCUACUUUCUAUACAUCUGUCUCAAACUAUUUGUCAUUUUGGUCACAUGCAUAUAUAAGGUUUACAUAUGACGUCCAAACACCGAGUUCUACCAAACUCAUUGCAUGCAUGGAAUAUAAUCCAGAUAUUUUAAGUUGUGAUCGAUGUAAUUUUUUACCAAUUUAUCGAUCGAUCAUUGUUUAUGAAAAUAAUCAAACUAAUUAUAGAACAUAUUGUUUUAUCAAUUUCGAUAAUUAACUCACACUUUUUCUCCAUUUUUGAGAGCGGGUUUUGGUGUGACAUGAGGAAAGAUAAUAUGCACGUAAGAGGCAAAACUCCAAACUAAGAGUGCUAUGAACAUCACAAAAAAUGCAAGCUCUAUCCUUGAUACGAUUCCUAGCCCCUUCAUUAUUAUAGGCCUCCUCCAUAUAGUCAGCUUUUGUUUCUUCUCAACGCUGCUAAUCACAAAAUUAAAAAAAAAAAAAAAAAAAAAAAAGUAGUUAGUAUUACGUACUACUAAUAAUUUGCUCUUCUUCUUCUUCUUCUUCAAUUCCUUCUUCUUUUUCUUUUUUUGUGGGUUGUGGGGGUUGCAUAGUGCAUACCUGUUGAUAUUUUUAUUAUUGGAUUUCUUCCAUAAAUGGAGGUAUACGCAUCCCAAGACAGCAACAAAUAAGAAAGGAAAUGUAUUCAUCAGCAGUGACCUUCCUGUAAAGGAAAAAAUAUGUAAUUAUAUUGUAUGAUAAAUUCAUUAAAGUUUGAUGUCUACGUAUCUUCAUCCAAAAGAGUUGAAGAAGCUAGCUCUUUGAGCUAAAUAUUCUUAGGGAGAUAAAAGGUAUCAAAAUCCUCCUAAACUAUAUAUCACCUUUUUAUUAGUUUUCUAUAUUUGAACUAUGACUAGUUUAAGUUAUCCAUCAAGCUAAUAUUUUCAGGUGCUAGUGGGGUGUAGCACCUGAAUUAUAUUAGUUCAGGGAGAAUUUAAGUAUGAAACUAAUUAAAAAGUGAUAGUUUGGGAGAGAUUAAUUUCUGCAUUUUGAAGGUAACAGUCUACUACUCAUUUGAUUUGCUUUGUGUAUGGGUGCAUACGAAGGACAUAAAUAUGACAGACAAUAGGUUAAAGGUGAUAUUUCUUCAACUGUUGUAAGAGCCAUUGCAUGUUUAUUUUCAUUGCCAGGCUCAUUCCAUAAGAGUCAUUGCAUGCAUGCGUUUAUUUAUGUCUUCAAAAUUCAAAUUAAGUUACCACUUACCAACAACAACUAGUACUACUACUGACAAUUAGUAAUAAAAAUUAGAGUUUAACUUAUUUCCAUUGUCAGUGGAAACUUUAUUUUACACAGGCUCUAAUUUUAAUAGGUAAUAGAAAAUUAGGAGAUUAUUUUCAUAAAAUCAUUUCCUUAAUUACUUGGCUUUUUCUCUCUCUAUUCCUUAAUUUUAGAACUUGCUAAUUCCUGUUAUACACGUUUUCUAUUUAAACUUUUUUAUUGAUCCGAAAAAAUAACAUUUUUACCCAUUUUUGUCUCAAAAAAAAUUUUCUACUGUUAAUUUUAUAAUGAAUUAAAAUCAUGCUUAUAAAAUUUUUAAGUCCCAAUUUAUUUAUUAUAUUUGGAUUUUGAGAGUUAAACGAGUAUAUUUUUAUUAUAAUUUUUAUAGUCCCAAUUGUACGUUUAAUAUUAAAAUAUUUGAAUCUCAAAAAGUGAAAAGUCUCAUAAAAAUUGAGACAUUGAGACUACUAUAUUAUAGAAUACAGAUAUAUUGCUUAUGUUUAUUUUGGAGAUUGCUUUGAAGGUUGAUGUUACUAAUUGAUCCUAAUUAGAUGGUGUUGAAUAAUAAUAAAGUAGAAAUUGACGAUCAAUAAAAACAAGACAUGAUCGAUCCUUCGUAAUUUUAAUAACAACGUCAUAAUGCUAUAAGAAAAAUUGAUAGAAUAAAUAUAUAGUCCAAGUUGCCUUCCACAACUAUUUUCCUUAUUUAUAAUUUUAAGGUAAAAAAAUUAAAAUAAUUAAAACUUACCUAUAAUAAACUUUAAAGCACUUGCUUGUGUGAAAAAUAGUUUCCACUGACAGUGGAUACUAGUUAAACUCUAAAAAUUAUGAUAUGAUAAUCUAAAAAAUAGAAUAAACAACGUAAUAUGUAGUAAGUGCACCUUAAUUAAAACACACUGAUAUAAGAGUAAAAAAGCAGUAGUAUGUAUACCUUGAGCUCCAAAGUAAGUAGAGUUGACAGUGUGAGCUUUGAUCUUGGGUGUCCAAAUCUGUCCAUACAUAUUGGUUGGAGAUACUAUUAAAACUAGAAAAUAUCCAACUGUAACAACUAAUAUUAGAGCCAUUAUAACUGCUUGAACAUCAUUGCUAAAACUUGAUGAAGCUUUAGUAGAAGGAGAGGAUGAUGAUGUUUGAGCCAUUUUCCCCUUUAUCUUGUUGAUAAAAAAAGCUUAAGAUGGAAGAAUGUUGAAAAGGAAUGUUGUGUUUAUAUAGUAUGAGGAGAAGAAUUGAUAUAUUAUUUUCUUUUGGCAAGUGUUGCAUAACUAUGAUUUCAUCCUUAUAUGUAUAAUUCUUUAAAUAGCAGGAUUCAUGUCCCUAUAUCUUUGUAUAUUUUGCUUUUACGACUAGGAAAUUCUUAUUACUUUUCAACAUUUUUAUGGUGACGUGUAUAAUUAAAUUCAUGUUGAAAAUAAAUAGAGGUCAACUAGAAUGGCACGUGGAUAGCCUCAUUUUAUACAAUUGCAUGGUUCAUGCAACGUUGCUUCGUUUCUCGUCACCUUUUUUUGGGCCUAAAAGCAGUGGAAUGGAAAACUAGUAUUCUGUGAUAAUAGAAAGAAUUUUUUAAGGUAAUUAUUAAUCACAGAUAAUUUAUUUUAUAAUAAUAAAUAUUUGAUAUACGGUAAAAAUAUAUUCUAUAAUUAACUCACCUUCUUUCGGAAUAAAAAAGUACAUAAACUACCGAUAUGUAUAACUUAAAUUCUAACACAAUGGUUGAGUUGAUUUUGUAGGAGAAAAAUGACUAGAACCAAUUUUUUAUAUAAAAAAAUAGUAAAAGUUGAAUGACUUUAUGGUUAGGAGGAUAGUUUCAUGAAUUUUUUGUAAUCAUAUUACUCCAUAUCAUAUAUUCCACCCAAUGGUUCAUGAGGUUUUACUUUUUAAGAGUUAAUUUAAUUAAUUUUUGAAGCUAAAUUUGAUUAAAUUAAUUUCAUAUUUUAAAAUUUAAAUUUAAAUUUUUGAAAAUUAUAUGAAAAAUAUUAUAAGUCACAAUUCUUUAUACAUAUAAAUAUGUCGAAAAAAUAUUAGUCAAUAUUCAUAUAGUUUUAUUUUCAAAAAAUAAAAUUUGAUAAAUAUUUUAGGUGAGGUAUAAUUACAUCAUAUACAGUAUGUCUAAAAAAAUUAACAACCUCACAUCAGAUUUUUUUUUAAUAGAAAUCUAGGAAUUGAGCAUGAUAAAGUGCUUCUUGUCCUACCACUGAAGACAAUAUGAUAAAUUUUCUUUAAGUAACAAAGAAUGAUGUCUUGUUAUUUUAUAAUAAUAAUAAUAACAAACUAGCUAGGGGAGGUAUGAAGAUGCCUAGACGAUACCUACUUCUUCCAAAACAAAAACAAAAUAAUUAAGUGGAUUUUACUUCACAAACUUCAUUUUCUUUCAUUUUGACUCUUCACAAACAAACAAAAUAACUCUUUUAAAACCCGCACCAUUAACUCUUUAAAAAAAAAAAUUGCUUCCUUUCUUACUUUUGUAUAGUUAUUGUAUAAUAUAAUCUUAUUUCUUCAAUAAUAUAUUUAGUUUAUUUAAACAUUAUUAUACUGAUAUAGUUCAUCAAAUAGUACAGUUAUAUUCUGGCGACUUUAUCAAAAUAGGAGAAAGGGGUGCUUUAGCCCUUGUUAUGUCAAAUAAGCUAUGGCAAAUUAAAGUGAUUUAAUAAGGUAAAACGUAUGAGACUUAAAAAGUAUUACUAUGACAUCACCAACGGAAUCAUUUUCACUAAAGCGAUUCAAAUGAAAAUAAAAUAAAAUAAAAGAGCAAACAAAAGAACUAGACAAAUAGAGUUUAGCAUCUAAUAUAUAUGCAUAAAAAAUAAUUUUAAUCAUAUAUAAAUAGUAUAAUUUUCAACCGAAGGAGAUUCAUCAGGCCAGAAGCUGGCUCCAUCCAUGUAUGGCACAUCCUAUUAGUAAUGACUCUGAAUUAUGGAUCGACGUAGCUAAUUUCGUUUCACCUGCAUAGCCUAAGAUCUGCAUCAUCUCACACCUACACUACCACAUUGUCAUCCCGAUUUUUUAUUUUCAGUCGUUGAACUUAUACCUAGUGGGAUAUAAGUUCCUUAAAAGCUGAAGUCAUGUUUGGCCAUAACUUGUAUAAUUUUAAGACAUGAAAUAUAAACUCAAGUAAAAUAAAAAAGUUUUUUUGCUACGAGGCAUAAAUUAAAGAACAACACAAAAUAACCGAUCAUGCAUUAAAGUCUUGAAAUUUUUACUUCAUGUCUCAUCUUCUUAGGCCCACACUCCUUUCGAUUGUAUUUUGGUUCUUGGACUCGGUUGGAUAUUGUGGGCAAAUGGCUAUAUGGGCUGUUGAAAUUCUGAGCCCGAUUUUUAUUAAACGGUCGAGUUAACCAGAAUAUAGGAAAAUCUACACCAAUAACCAAACAUCUUUAUAAUAUGUAUUAAAUCUCCCUCUAUUUUAAAAUAGUUAUACAUUCUCUCGAUAUUUAAGAUAGGGUAAAAUACAUAUGUUAACAUACUUAAAUACUUAAUUACAAAAAAUAGUAACAAUUUUUCUUAAUUACAUUCUAUAACAUAUGUAGCAUUAUUUUAAGUGAUUCCUAUUUUUUGCCGCCUAAAUUUUUUACUGUGAUAAAAUCCCCCUUUUCACUCCUCCUUCUUUAUUUUUCCUUAAUUUAAAUUUCUUUUUCCUAUUUUUUCGCCAUUAACCAUCACUCUCUCCUCAAUCUUAUUGCAUUUUGCACGAUUCUUGCACGAUCUGUGAUAAGGAUUUGCUUCCCAUAUUUCAGGUAAUUAUUAAUCGCAUUUUGCAUGUGAGCGUUUUAUUUUUAUUUUUUCCUACUUUAAUUCAUUGAAAAUUUAAUUUUUAAGAAUUUUGUGUUUUAAUUGAUAAACACAUUGCAAAAACACUUAUAAACAGGGGUACAAGGAAUAUGAAAUUAGUGUAUGAUGCACCAUCUUUUAGUCUUGGGUUAACUCAAGAAGAUUUAGUGACUGUUGUUUCAAAUCUUUUACAGUUGAGGAAAUCUGGUAGAUCGAAAGAGAUUAGGUCGAAGUUUCGUAACGACGAAGUGAAGAUGACGAAAAUUUAAAAAAAAAAAAAAGGGUUGAAGAAAACUCCUUCUCCAAAGGAGCAAAAAAUUAAAAAACAGUACGAGAAGAUUAUGAAAUCUAAAGAAAUUGAAGACGAUAUUGACAAAUCUUAUGAUGAAUCUAAAGAAGUGAGGAAGAGGUUUUUUUUUUUUUAUUGUAAAAGUAUUUUUUUUUUUUGUGUGUUCAAAUAAUUAUGUAUUUCCUGUUAUGAUGAUAUUUAGGGAUUAUGUGAAAAUAUAUUGUUGAAUUAACUAUUCAUGAAUAGUAUUUGGAUAUAUAUUUUUAUAGUAUAGGUGAUAUGUAUUUUUAGUAUAGUUGAUAUGUAUUUUUAGUACAGGUGAAUAAUUUUGACCUAUAUGUAUUUUUAAUGUAGUUGAUAUGCAUUUUUGACUAUUUGUAUUUUUCAGUAUUUAUUGUAUUUUAUAUAUGGUCAAAAUACAUAUGCAUGUUAUUUUAGUUUAACUACCAUAACAGUCUAUUGUCUAUAUGUAUUUUUAAUGUAGUUGAUAUGCAUUUUUGACUAUUUGUAUUUUUCAGUAUUUAUUGUAUUUUAUAUAUGGUCAAAAUACAUAUGCAUUUUAAUCAUCUGAAAUAUAUAUGCAUGUUAUAUUUUUUUUUUUGUUUGAUUGAAUUUUGUUUACAGAUUAAAAAGUGGUAGUUACUUUGUAUGGGUGAUGCGGGAUGAAAUAUUCUUUGUCAGAAAACUUCCAAGAUUUGCACCGCACAUGUGCUCGUACAGUGAUAAUGAUAUUUAUGGAAGCAUACGUGCAAUUUUAAACAAGGAACAGUUUAAAAACUUUUGUGAGAAUAACAUUUUUGGUUAUUUUAUGAAGAAGAAACAGUGUGUAGUGCAAGUACAGUUGUGUAGAUGCGUUAUGAAGCUUGAGGUGAAGGGUAGUUCUUCUUCUGGGAUUAUGAUCUGUGCUAAUGGCACCUCUCUUAGUUUUACUCUCAUGGAAUUUGCUAUCAUAACUGGAUUGAAUUGCGUGUCUAAUAGGUAUGACUUUAUUUUUGAUGAGGGUGUACCAAAUGGGAUAAUUGAAAAGUAUUUCAGUGGGGCAGAAAUUAUACAGAAAAGGCAACUAUUUUUAGCAUUCACGGAGAAAGUAUGAGGGGAGAACAAUGAUGAGGAUGCUGAGAAAUUUGCAAUUCCAUAUUUCCUACAUUCAUUUGUGUUGUCUAACAUUGACACUAUUGUUAUACCCCGUCUUCAUUUUGAUUUGGUAGAUAGUGGUAGAUAUAAGGAUUUUUCAUGGGGUUCUUUAUCUUUUGAAGAUUUGGCUAGAAGUUUGAACAACCGGCUGAAAGCUGGGGGCAAAUUUUAUCUGAUUCAGGAAAUGCCACUGGCUAUUCAAGUGUGGCUAUAUGAGUGUUGUUCAAAUGUCCCACCAAAGAUUGCAUUGAAGGUUGAGAAUCGGAUUCCCUGAUUAUUAAAUUGGAAGACGAUUGCAUCUCAUCCACGGUUUGAGUUUUUGAUGAAUGCUAUGUUCAAGGACAAUGGCAAGGUUUGUUGUGAACAAAUAUAUAUGCAUUGAUAUGUAUUGUAUUGUAUAGUAUACAUAUAUUCUUUUUCAUUUUCAAUUGUUGUUGUUUCAAUUGUUUAACAUAUUCUUUAACAUAUUAUUUAACAUAUUCAUAGGUUGUAUUUAAGAACAUAGAGCCAACUGAAAUGGAACUGGCAAAGCUUGAAAUACCACAGAAGGAUGUAACUAAAGAUGAACGUUCAGUUGAUUCUGACGAUGACUUCCAGGAUCCACCACCAAAGAAGAUCAACGAACGUUCAAAGAAGAAACAGAAGGUUGAUUCAUCAAUCCCAGUAGCGAAGAAACCUUAAGGGAAAAAGCAAGUCAAUAUUGUUGACGCGCAUACCCAAACGAGGACUCCACCUCAUCGUGUUGCCAAGGCUAUUGUAAUGAAGACACCAGUAUUCAAGCCAAUUCCAACACGACAGGCUUCUUCUUCAAAAAAUAAGGAAGGGAAGCAAACAGCUAGGGUUAUUUUUUCUCAGGUACAGUCAAAGAUAGAUAGUCAUGUAGAUAAAGUUGUUGUGUCAAAGCGUGAGAGACAUGUUGAGAAAGAAACAUUUAUUUCUAAGAAAGUUUUUGAUGCAUUCCGCGAAAAGGUAAUUUUUUUUGUCAAAUGUUUGUUUUACAUUUAAAAAUAUGUGUUUACUGAAUUUGUAUGAAUAUAGGUUCGUCAAGAGUUUAAAAGAGUUCGUCAAGAGUUUACUCGAAUUCGUCAAUUAGUGAAGAAAAAAUUUUAAAAAAUGGUCAAAGCAAUUGAACAUAACAAGGUAAAAAUUUUAUUAUUAUAUAAUAUCCACAGUAGUAAAAAAAUACAUAUGCAGAGUAUAUGAAAAAAAUACAUAUGCAGUAUAUUGCUAAAAAUACAUAUGAAUUUUAUACAAAAAUACAUAUGAUUUGAUAUAAAAAAUACAAAUGAAAUGUAAUACAAACUACAUAUGCAGUGUGGCAAGAAAUGUAUUUUGAUAAAUACAUAUCCAUAGUUUGUAAAAAAAUACAUAUGCAGUAUAUUGCUAAAAAUACAUAUGUAGUUUAUUCAAAAAAUAUAUAUGAGUUGAUUUUCAAAAAAUACAAAUGAAAUGUAUUACAAAAUACACAUGAAAUGUAUUACAAAAUACAUAUGAAAUGUAUUACAAAAUACAUAUGCAGUAUGUCAAGAAAUGUAUUUUUCAACACUAUGUAUUUUUAGUGGAUUGGUAUAUACAUAUUAAGUGAAAUCAAAUAAUAGUAGUUUAUUCAAAUUAUACUUGUAGCAACAACAUGAAGAUACAGAGGUUGAAGCACAACAAAUGAAUUAUGCUGGCGUCGAAACAUUACCACAACAAUUCAGUCCUACUGUUGAUCAGAAUUUGGAUGAGAAUCAGGAUGGUAUAAAGGUAAAAAAUAACUAAAAUAUGAUUAUUCUUUUGAGUGCACAAAUGUAAUUCUUUUUUUUUUGUGCAGUUAUAUGUUAUUUUAUAUAUAGUCCUGUAUAAACAUCUACAACUGAAUUUUUGUUUGAAGUUGGAUUAAUUUUUUUUGCUUGUUUGCAAGGGGUGCACUGAUUUGCAUCCAGAUAAAACAAACAUUGAAAUUGAUUCUCAACAUUUAAUCCCUGAUGAGCUUCUCCAAAGUAUAAAUUUGAAUUAUAAUCUUUCUGAGAAGAUUUUUCAUCAUGAUGAUCGAGUAUUUAUAAUGAAUUGAACUUCAGUUUAUGUGAUGUAAAAAUCAUAACAAUCCAUAAGACAAUUAUAUAUUUUCUUUCAUUUCUAUUGCAGAUCACUGAUGAGAAAUUGGAUGAUACAAAUUUGUCUAAUUCGCAGUUUACAAUCCUAGAUGAGUUGUUACCAAGUCUUAAUGCAUACCGAAGAGAAAGCAUCACGACACAUCCAUUGGCAACUUCUGAAGAAGAACAAAUCGAUGAACAUUUUAAUGAUAAAAAGUCCAAAUCUAUUCUUCAAGAUCAUUGUCAGGUAUGUAUUAUGAAUAUACCUGAGGUUAUGUGGAUUAUUUUUGACAUAAAAAAAUAAACUGUUUUCCAUUUUUGAAGGAAAACAAAGAGAACGUUGGAUCGAGCUCUAAAGCAGACAUGCACAGAGAGGUUGAUCUUGGUACGGAGGAGCAGAUUAUGACAACUCCUAAAAUACAAGAAUUAACUACUGAUGAACAAAGGGAUGAAACAGUUUUGCCUGAUUCACAAGACACAAUCCCUGAUGACUUGCUUCCUAAUUUGAAUGUAUACAGUAGUAAAAGCAUCAUUGUUCAUCCCUCUACUAAUCAUGAACUUCAAACUCCUAUUCCUAAGUUAAGGAUUAGGCGACCAUCCAAAUUCAAAGAGUCACCUUACACAAUAAAUUUGGUUCAGCUGCCGAUAAGUACAAUUAGUUAUAUAUUUAGUUUACAAUGUAACAUGUUAUGCAAAUACUUUUUAAUAAUUACCUUUUGUAUUACGUAAAUAUAUAGAGAGCUCGGAAGGGCACAUACGUAUAUUCCCACAGAAACAUCCAUUUGUUUAUCAUCCGAUUGAUGGGAUUGUGGAUACGAAGAUUGUCAACAAGUUCAUGGAUUGGAUUUCUGAAGACCUUCUCAAAGUUCAUGCUAAAAGGUAUUUCUAUUGAACUGUUUUAAGUUUUUUUUUAAAAAUUACAUUAUGUUCUCAUGAUUUAACAUAUACUGAUUAACAAAAAAAAAAACAGGAAGGAAAAUGCGGAUAAUUACAAAAGGCGGAAAUCAACCAUUCCAAUGAUGCAUUUCAAAACUGAGACUGUUGAAGAUAAAAACUGGUUUUACACAAUGGGGUUUCCUGAUCAGUCAUGGACCGACUCGGUUAGUAUAUUUUUUCUUACAGUAUUUUUUUUUAUAUUUAUAGCACUAAUUAAACUACAUAUUAUGGUAGUAAAUACAUAUGCAGGUGCAAAUAAGUAUUUUCUAUGUAAUUUUUUAUUAUAUAAGAAAGGAUGUGAUGCACUUUAACUUACAUAUGUAUUUUUAUAUUACAUACACAUGCUAAAAUUAGUAUACAAAUAGUUUGAAUUGUUUAAAAUUUAUGUUCUCACCUACUGCAGCAUAUUGAUGUUUGCUUCUACUACUUGAGGAAGAAGUUGAAGUAUGACCCCAACAGGUCUUACAAAUUCAGCACAGUAGAUUGCAACUUUAUGUGUAGACACAUGAUUUUGAUUCUCCCCGAGUUUAAUAUAUAUAUUUUUCGGUAUUAAAUAUUUAUAUUUGGUUCGAUAUUAUUUUAACUUUUAUUUUAUUUUAAAUAAAUUUUUAGUUAAAAUUUUUUCAAUUUUAGGAUAUUCUUUUAUUUUAUUUCAAUUUAAAAAAAUAAUAAUACAAAAAAAAUAAAAAAAAUAAUUUACUAGUUUUGAUACUAUCUUAAUUAUAUUUAUUUUUGGAUAUUUUAAACUUUUAUUGUAUUUUAUUAAAUAUAAAAAUUAAUUAGUCAUUAUUAUAUUAUUUUUAUUAUUAGUAUUUUUAUUUAUUUAUUAUUUAUAUUUGUUAUAAUUAUUAUCUUCUUUAAAAAAAAAUUAAAUUUUAAAUCUCCCCUUAUCUGAUCUCUACCCAACUGUUCUCCCCAAGAAUUCCUCUAUUUAAGGACUUUUAUCAUACGUACUUUUACACAGACUGUAUCAGACAAAUCAGACAGAAAAAGAUCAAAACUCAGUCAGAGUAAAAAAAAAAGGAAAACACUUGCCAAAAGAGAGAAAGGAAGAAAGUUGAAGUGAAGUUUUCGUUCGAAAUUUUCGCUGACGAAUCUCAUUAUUCAGUUUAAAUUAUUCAGGUUUUUUGUUCAACUCUCUAUUUUAUUUUGUAAGUUUGGUUAUAAGUUGAAUCAUUAUUUUAGUGAUCUCAUGAAUUGAUACUGUAUGUUGUAAUAUUUAUAUCUUGUUUGUAUUGCGACGGCGAAAAGAAGGUAAAUAAUAUGCAGUAAUAUUUGACUUGUUUUGUAUAUGAUAAAAACGGAGUAAAAUUUAUUUACACAAACUCAUAUUCAUAGUAUGUAUUACUUCACAAAUAUUUCUUUAAUUUACAUUCAUGUAUGCAGUAUUUUUAUUUUCAAAAUACACUUUCAUAACGACACACAUAUCUGCAAACACAAACCUUUUGUUUUCUUAUGAAUGAAAAAUCACUGCGAAAUUGAAAAUAGAAAAAAAAAAAAAGAUGCAAAACAGCGCUGCUGCCCUCUUGCCCUUUUUCCCCUUUCCCACGCUGUCAUCUCACCGGUGAACUAAUCCGGUAACCACCGUUCUUCUCUCUUUUUCAGCGGCCAUAGAUGGAAAGCAAUAUAUAUAUAUAUAUUUGGCUCCCUCUGUUAGAAUUCUAAUAAAUUAAGGAAAAUGAUUUCUGUUAAGUAACUUUUGUUAAUUUGAAAAUUUUUAAAAAUGGUAGUGAUAUAUUUUGGGAUUAUAAUAAGGUUUUAAAAAAUAAUAAUAAUAAUAACGGAAUUAGUUUUGUGUAUUUGUAAUAUUAUCAUUAUUAUUAUUAUAUUAUUAUUAUUAUUAUUUAUUUUUUAUUAUUUUAUUGUUGUUGUUGUUUUAUUAUAUUUCAUUAUCAUUAAUAAAGUUUUGAGAAUUAUUAUUAUUAUUAUUUUUUCUCUCUUUUAAAAAAAAAAAAUCAUUAAUUAAUCACCCUAAAUAAAUUUUACUCAAAUUUAUCAUUAAAGUUAAAUAGCAUUUUGGAUAGAUCAAAUUGUUGUGAUUUUACAAGAAAUCAAAUAAAGCUUUUAACGUUAGGUAAAUUUUAGACACGUUUAAAAUUUCAUCUCAAAUUAAGAAUGAAGCGUACGUAUCUUUUUGAGACAUUUUAAAAUUCAAGGAUGUAAUAAUGCACCCUGACAAAUAUUUACUCAAAAAUUAAUUUUCACUAAUUUAAUAUAAGAGAUGUGGAUAAAUAUUUUUGGUAUGAUAAAAUGAGUGAACUUGGGCCUUUAGACAUAAUUUAUCAAAAUAGUUUAAGUCAAGAUAAGUCAAUAAAAGCGACCGUGCUAGAACCAUGGGAAUCGAGGGGUGCCUCACACCUUCCUCUCGGUCAACAGAAUUUCUUACUCGGUCUUUUAUUUUCGCAGACCAACAAAGAGUUAUUUCCUUUUUGAUAAGGGAUUCAAAAAAGGUGACUUGGAACACCAAAACUCAAUUUCAAGUGGCGACUCUAUAAAUAAAUUAAUCUUUAUUCAAUAUCGUCACUUUAAUUGAAAAAACCCUUCGACCUCGACCCUCGAGACGAAAAAGGGGUAUGACAUCUCUGGCGACUCCGCGGGGGAAUAAUAAGAAUUCGAGCUUUUUAGAUUGAAUUAUACUUGCUGUAAUUAUUAUUGAUAUUGUGUUUGUUGGCCUUAUGUGCUACUUGUCGCUCAUUUACCGCUUUGAUAUUGAUUGAACUGUAUUAUAUACUGUUUUUUCUUGCGUACCCCCUCUGAGUAUCUGAAAUAGGAUAGAACGAAUACAACGCAUGCAUUCUACUUUCUUUUUGAGAUAGUUGGAGUGUCAAGGCACCUGGUGAAGGAUUAUAGUCACACAUGUUAGGCGGGGUUCGGAUCGACAACAAAGGCGGUGUUGCCAUGCUACCGACUAAGUUGUCCCUCCCCGGCUCGAGUGUCCGCUCGGGUAAGCCAGUCUAGACACCUAUCUUUUUUAGGCUUAAACUUAGAAGAACUAAAACUCAGAAUCUGGUUAUCCCUAUUAGGUGCCGCUUUAUUUGCAUCAUAUGCAUUUGACUUAGCGGGACUCGGCACAGGGGACGGAUCUGUCUAGGACAGGUAACCUACUUCAUAAAGACCAACAUAUGCAUCCUAUGUGCUCUUUGACAUUUAUUUGGAAGUCUGUUUGUUUUUUGAUUGGCUUUAGGCAACUUUAAAAUGCAAGAGAUUAUAUUAUCCUCAAAUUUAGUAAAUCAUUUUUCAAAAGAAAAAUUUUAUUUUUUAAAAGAAAGAAAAAUUUUAAAUAUAUAGUAAUAUAAUUUUACGGUUUUCAUGAACUACAAGUGUCUGAUUCUCACUCUUUAGUGGGAUACGUAGGAAGUCCUUCCCGGGAUACGACCCUAUCUUUUAAAAACUUAUUCAUAAAUUUAUUGGGGAAUGUUUUGAAAAUAUGAUUACUUUCAUAAUUAUUUUUUUUAUUCUCAAGUUCAAUUUAUAUAUAUAUAUAUAUAUAUAUAUUAAUAACCCAUAAUCUUUAGGGAUCAUAAGGCUAAGUUUUACAAAAUAAAAAAUAUAUAUAAAUCUUAAUAGCCCUGAAUCUUUAGGGAUCAUGAGGCUAAAUUUUUAUAAAAAAUAUAAAUCUUAACAGCCCUGAACCUUUAAGAGUCUUGAGGCUGAAUUUUGUAUGACAUAUAUUUCAAGAACUGCCCACACCUGAUUCUCAUCUUAGUGAGAUACGUAGGCAGUCCUCAAUGGAUUCGGUAGUCUUAAAAAAAUUAAAUAUUAUUAUUUUGAACUAUGACACAUUAAUUUUCUCCAAAACUAAAUAGUAUUAAAGUGGUUGGUUUGUGGCUAAGUUGGCUUCUCAUCCAUAUAACAGAGGUUCAAAGAAAAAAGAAAGAUGACCCGCAAAGACGAUGUAGGGUCUGAAAAUGAGGAAGUGCAGAAUCAAUUAAUUUCGCAAGAAUUAGCAUCAAUAGAAGAGAUUAAGUUGUUGAAACAACAGAUGGUAGAGAUGUAUCGAGCUUGGUUGAAUGGACAAAACCCGCCUUCCUCAAUCCCUGGACUUUCAAAUACGAAUGAUCCAAAUCCCGUCCAAGCUCAAACUGGCGAUUCAUUUUAUCAAUCAGGGUUUGGCCCAUUUGCUAAUAUAUCUGGCGUUGCUGGUACUUCUACCAUGUGCCCACCAAAUCCUUAUGUCACAAAUAACCCAUUUUCACUUCUGUAGCACCAGCUACUGUGGGUACUGAAUCGACAAUACUGAAAAAUACGGGAGAACCAAGUCAUGAUCAGUUGUAUCAUCUUGAAAUAAUUUUCAAAUUCCAAAAUCCAUAUUAUCAUGCUCAUCAACAUGAUUCUCCUAUCGUGAUUGAGAAGAUUGUUAAGAAUGAAGAACAAGAGGAGAUGACUAGGAAAGUAAGAAGCUUGGAGCAGAGUAUGAGAAAUAUGCAAGGAUUAGGUGGACCAAAAAGUGUUUCAUACAAAUAUUUAUGUAUGUUUCCUAACGUUCAUUUGCCUCUAGGGUUCAAAAUGCCAAAGUUUGACAAAUACGAAGCUCAUGGCGAUUCUGUAGCUCAUUUGAAAAAGUUCUGCAAUCAAUUAAGGGGAGCAGGAGAAAAAGAAGAACUAUUGAUGGCUUACUUUGGAGAAAGCCUGACACGAAUAGCUUCUGAAUGGUUUAUUGACCAAGAUAUUUCCCGUUGGCACGUGUAGGAUGAUAUGGCUCAGGAUUUCGUUCAACAAUUUUAAUAUAACAUUGAGAUGGUGCCAGAUUGCAUUACGCUUGCCAACAUGAGAAAAAAGAUGACUGAAAAUUUUUAAGAAUAUGUUUUCAGAUGGAGAAAGUAGGCUUCAAGAGUCAGACCAUCGAUAAAGGAAUCUGAAAUGAUUGAUAUCUUUUUGCAACCAUAAGAACCUGAUUAUUUCCAUCAUUCACUUUCUACUAUUAGAAGCAAAUUCGCUGAAGUUAUUAAAUUUGGAGAGAUGAUAGAGAAUGUAAUUAAGACAGGGAAGAUUAUCAGCCAGGCCACUUUGAAAGCAACAACACAGGCAAUUCAAAGUGUCUUAGGAAGCUUUAGUGAAAACAAAAGAAAAGAGGAUGUAGCAACUGUUGUGCCAAGUCUACAACAAAAUUGGAGAAGUGUGCGUCAAGCAUAGGCACAAAAUCCAUUAUGUUUUAUUUUAUCCCCUCAGUAUCCUAGUUAUAAUGCACAACCAUAUGCCUGAACCCUUUCUUACCCGCAAUGGCGUGCACCAACCCCUCAGAAUUAUCUUUCAACUCUACCAACAUACCCCAGCCCUUCUAGAUUCGAUUUUUGCUCUAAGACAAACAAUGAAAAAAAACAGAAGCUAAGGGAUAAUUUCACACCAAUUGGAGAAUCAUAUACUAGCUUAUUCCAGAAAUUGAGACAAAAGGACAUGAUUACUCCUCUUCUUGGGUAGACCCCUGACCCACAUUCAAGGAACUUUGAUCCUAAUGUACAAUGUGUAUAUCAUUCUGAUGUUCAGGGUCAUAGUACUGAAGAUUGUCGGGCUUUGAAAAGAGAAAUAGAAAGAAUGAUUCAAGAUAAAUUAAUUAUGGUGCAGGACGUUGACAGUGGUGAAGGAUCUAGUCAUGCUGAUGUGCGUACUGAAGAAGAUGUCAAGCUCAACAGUUGAGAAGUCACUCCUCCCCUUCCUAGAAAGAAUUGAAAAUUUUUAUUUUGUUUUUCUUUCUGAUAUCCGAAUAAUUUAAAGAUUGUAGUUCGGAGUCUAUCUUGUCUUUUCUAUAUGUCAUUUAUGUUGAAACUCGAUCAUCUUUUCUUUAAUCAAAAUGUAGUGUCUCUUUUAUAUAUUUAUUAUAUUUUAUUUUAUUUUACUUUAUUUUAAUAUAUAUAUAUUAUUUGUUUGUCUUUCCUGUGUCUAUAUAGUUCUUUUAUGUGGAUUCUAGUGAUAUGAUAUGCAUGCUGAAUUUUCAUCAGAUCUUAAAAUCUAAUCUAGUCCUGAAACACUUGACCAAGAAGAUAGAGUUGAAAGAAAAAGGCAUGUAAGGAAAUAAGUAAAGUGUUGACAUAUUUGCUGAUUGAGUUAAAGCCUCGGUCGAAUGGAUUGAAGUAAUCGCUUUGUGCAUAAUAAAUGACCUAGUCAUCAAUGAAAAGAUCAAUCUCAAGCACUUUAAAUGGGAGCGAUCAGAGGAUAUAUAGUCUCCACUAUCAAGAAAAGUAAAAAGGAUGUUAGAUCAAAAAAGACAUGAAUCAUUCAUUGAGAGAAAAGUACAAUAUAAGUGGACCUGCAUGUUUUACAAGCUUAAAAGAUGUGACGCACGUGCACGAGCUUAGUCACGAUCAAUGUUGAAAAAGAUGCAUAUGAUCUUCAUGUUUCACUCCCGGAUUGCAUGUUAUGUACUUGUAUUUUUAAGAAUUGAUAUGACGAAGACAUUUUAUUCUGCUACCCAAAUAUUGUGUCAUCCUUUGUUAUCUCCUUUGAGCUUUAACAUUUUUUUUCAUAAACCUCUUUUGGAAUAAAAAUAGAGUUUGAAAAAAGUCAAACAAAAAAAAAUCUCAAAAAAAAAGAGAAGUCGAAGAAGAAAAAAGAGGCAAAGUUACAGAAAAAAUCAAGCAAAAGAACAAGCUUUCUGAACUACGUUUGACCUGAUUCUUGCAAUGACAAGAUACGUAGGCAGCCCUACUCUGAGGUUCGGUCUGACCAAAUAAAAAUCUAAGUUACCCAGAAUAAAAUAAAACUAGGGCAAAAGUUAUUUUCUUUAUGAGUCGAUUCCAAAAUUUAUAAAUCUCACCCGAUAUUAUGAAUAUUUUUUGAGCCUCAUGUUGCCCUUUCUUUCUAACCCUUUCCAAAAGCCAAGUUACAACCAAAUAAAGACCUUCCGAUCAAUCUUUGAGAAUGCCAAGGCGAAACAUGUUUGAGUGUAUGAUGUUUCAUACUUUGGGCAUCAUUUUCUUUCAAAUAAAAAAAAAAAGAAUGAAUGAAAAUGAGAGAAUCUUAUUGGUGAAAACCUUUUUGGGCACCAUAAGGUGACGGUGAGCUGAGAAAAAAAUGAAAAUGAGAUUGGCUCGUUGGCAAAAACCCAUUGAGGUGUCACUAGCCGAAGGAGGAUUGUGAUCUAGAGGGAGCAUGUUCAAGAAUGGCUCCAUUUUAAAUUCAAUAAGUGGGUAAAAGUUGAAAAGGAUUGGUAUGAGUAGUUCUGGUUGUGUAAUUUAAAAUGCAUGUCAUAAUCACUGGAAUCAACUGUCGCACCCAAAUAAGUUUUUGUUUUUGACGUUCUUGAAAAGAGAUGUUUAUCGUCUUUUUCUUUUCUUUUUAUUAUUAUUUUUCUUUUUUGAUUUUGUGUCUUUGUAGUCGAAUGGAAAAUCAAUAUCGUCAUCUUUCAUGUAUUUUGAGUCAAAUUUAUGUCAAGACAAGUGAGAAAGAACUUUAAAACUUGCUACCAACUUCCUCAAUUGCACAAAGCAUGACAAAGAGCUGAUGCACCAAGUUGAAAUGCUUCAAAAUAAGGUGAGGUACUCGAGAAUGCUUGUCAUCCGACAGUUUUUGGACUCAUAAAAGUAUAAAAGUGUAUUUGAAGUUGAAUCCUGAGGCAUCAUGCAAGAGAAAUAUAAUUUGAGUCAAAAUGUUUUAGUAGUCAGAAUUUGGGGGCAAUACUACAACAAGUCAACAAUACCUAUCAAUGAUUUGCGAUGGAACUAGGCAUGACAAGUGCAAGAGAUCGUCUCAAUAUCCAAAUGCCACAAAUCAACCACCGUAUUUUUAAAUUAAAAAGUUUUCUUUACAUGAAACAAAAACAUGUGUUACCUUCAUAUCAAAGGUUUCAAAGCUUAACUAUUAAAAGCUGCAAUUUCUCACUUCUGCAAAUGCAAGAGGCAGUACUGUUACACAGAUUUGGUAAUCAAUAAUGGUAAAAACUCAUCAUUUUAACCCCUAGGAGACGCACUUCCUAGUCCGGAUAAUUCAAGUUUCAUUUGUUACGUGAUGCACUUCCUAACUUAAACCAUCACUCCUAGAAGACGCACUUUCUAGUUGAGUCAUUUCAUUCAACCCCUAGGAGACGCACUUCCUAGUCGGGAUAAUUAAAGUUUCAUUUGUUAGGUGAUGCACUUUCUAACUUGAACCAUCACUCCUAGAAGACGCACUUUCUAGUUGAUUCGUUUCAUUUAACCCCUAGGAGACGCACUUCCUAGUCUGGAUAAUUCAAGUUUCAUUUGUUAGGUGAUGCACUUCCUAACUUGAACCAUCACUCCUAAAAGAUGCACUUUCUAGUCAAGUCAUUUCAUUUAACCCCUAGGAGACGCCCUUCCUAGUCUGAAUAAGUCAGUGUUCAUUUGUUAGGUGAAGCACUUCCUAACUUGAACAUUCACUCUUAGAAGACAUACUUUCUAGUUGAGUGCUUCAAUUUAUCUCUUAGGAGACACACUUCCUAAUUUUGGUCAUCAGUUUUACUCUGAUGAGACACAUUUGUUUAGCAAGACUUUGAUUCACAUUCUUUACUAUACUUUUCAAAAGUUGUGAUCUGAUGACACUCACAAAAUUUACUAGUGCAAACUGGGGCAAAAUUUUGUUCGUGUUUACGGAAAGUUAUUUUAUGCUCAGGACCCUCUUGAAGAAUGGGAUAGGACCCUCCAGAAGAAUGAAAAUUUAUUUUAUGUCCAGGACCCUCCUGAAGAAUGGGACAGGACCCUCCUGAAGAAUGGAAAUUUAUUUUAUGCUCAGGACCCUCCUGAAGAAUAGUACAAGACCCUCUUGAAGAAUGAUAAUUUAUUUUAUGCCCAGGACCCUCCUGAAGAAUGGGACAAGACCCUCCUAAAGAAUGGAAAUUUAUUUUAUGCUCAGAACCCUCCUGAAAAAUGAGAAUUUAUUUUAUGCACAGGACCCUCCUGAAGAAUGGGAAUGUAUUUUAUGCUCAGAACCCUCCUGAAGAAUAAGACAGGACCCUCCUGAAGAAGGAAAAUUUAUUUUAUAUCCAGGACCCUCCUGAAGAAUGGGAUGUUAUUUUUCUAUUUCACCUUUUAUUUUGAGUUCAGGAAUAUAUUUUGAAAAAUCAGAAAAGGAAAUCUAGGAGCUCGCUUGAAGAACAGGUUAAAGAAAAAGAAAGUCCAGGAGCCCGCCUAAAGAACAAGGUGAAGAAAAAAGAAGUCCAGGAGCCCGCCUGAAGAAUACGGUAAACAUUUUCAGUUGCAAGUUCAGAAGCCCGCCUGAAGAAUAGAGUGAAGAUUGUCAAAUUCAAGUCAAAAAAAAGUUUGAAGAAUAAAUCAAUUAUGAAGUUCCUCUCUAAUGCCAAAAGCCAACGAGAAGGAACAUUUCGUGUUUUAAGCUCAACUCAGAAUAACGACUAUCUCACCAUUUGAGAAGUCAUGAAGAUUCAAAACAAGAUUUCAGAAAAGCAACAUAGAUAGGAUCUUUCUUUUGUAUCUUCACUUUAUUUUUUGUUAUUUAUGUGAAUGUAAAAGCAGAAGUCGUCAUUCGAAAACUCGAUGGAAUCUCACUCAACCUCUAACUCAUUCUCUCACCAUUUUAAUUUUGAACUACACGUAACCUGAUUCUCUUAUAACCCGGGAUAUGUAGGCAGUCCAAAACCAGGAUUCGGUGAUAUCUCCUUUUUCUUUUUAUAUUCUUUUUUAAUAAUCCGAGGAUCAAAAAUCAUAUCUUUGUCUACUUCUUUGUAUGGAAACUCUUUGAGAUUUCAAAUAAAGAGGGGCAAAAUUCAGACACGUGAUUUUGACCCUCCCCGAGUUUAAUAUAUAUAUUUUUCGGUAUUAAAUAUUUAUAUUUGGUUCGAUAUUAUUUUAACUUUUAUUUUAUUUUUAAUAAAUUUUUAGUUAAAAAAAUUUUAAUUUUAGGAUAUUGUUUUAUUUUAUUUCAAUUUAAGAAAAUAAUAAUACAAAAAAAAAUAAAAAAAAUAAGUUACUAGUUUUAAUACUAUCUUAAUUAUAUUUAUUUUUGGAUAUUUUAAACUUUUAUUGUAUUUUAUUAAAUAUAAAAAUUAAUUAUUUAUUAUUAUAUUAUUUUUAUUAUUAGUAUUUUUAUUUAUUUAUUAUUUAUAUUUGUUAUAAUUAUUAUCUUCUUUAAAAAAAAAUUAAAUUUUAAAUCUCCCCUUAUCUGAUCUCUACCCAACUGUUUCCCCCAAGAAUUCCUCUAUUUAAGGAAUCUUAUCAUACGUACUUUUACACAGACUGUAUCAGACAAAUCAGACAGAAAAAGAUCAAAACUCAGUCAGAGUAAAAAAAAAAAAGGAAAACACUUGCCAAAAGAGAGAAAGGAAGAAAGUUGAAGUGAAGUUUUCGUUCGAAAUUUCCGCUGACGAAUCUCAUUAUUUAGUCUAAAUUAUUCAGGUUUUUUGUUCAACUCUGUAUUUUAUUUUGUAAGUUUAGUUAUAAGUUGAAUCAUUAUUUUAGUGAUCUCAUGAAUUGAAAGUGAAUGUGUAUGUUGUAAUAUUUAUAUCUUGUUUGUAUUGCAAUAGUGAAAAGAAGGUAAAUAAUAUGCAGUAGUAUUUGACUUAUUUUGUAUAUGAUAAAAACGGAGUAAAAUUUAUUUAUACAAAUUCAUAUUCAUAUUAUGUACUACUUCACAUAUAUUUCUUUAAUUUACAUUCAUGUAUGCAGUAUUUUUAUUUUCAGAAUACACUUUCAUAUUGACAAACAUAUCUGCACACACAAACCUUUUGUUUUCUUAUGAAUGAAAAACCACUGCGAAAUCAAAAAUAGAAAAAAAAAAAAAAAGAUGCAAAACAGUGGUGCAACAACAACAAUAGUCCAUCACCGCCGCUGGUGACCUCUCUCCGUUUUUCCCCUUUCCCACGUUGUCAUCUCACCGGUGAACUAAUCCGGUAACCACCGUUCCUCUCCCUUUUUCAGCGGCCAUAGAUGGAAAGCAAAGAAACAUACAUACGUACAUACAUACAUACAUACAUACAUACAUACAUACAUACAUACAUACAUACAUACAUACAUACAUGGAAAGCAAUAUAUAUAUAUAUAUUUGGCUCCCUCUGUUAGAAUUCUAAUAAAUUAAGGAAAAUGAUUUCUGUUAAGUAACUUUUGUUAAUUUGAAAAUUUUUAAAAAUGGUAGUGAUAUAUUUUGGGAUUAUAAUAAGGUUUUAAAAAAUAAUAAUAAUAAUAACGGAAUUAGUUUUGUGUAUUUGUAAUAUUAUCAUUAUUAUUAUUAUAUUAUUAUUAUUAUUAUUUAUUUUUUAUUAUUUUAUUGUUGUUGUUGUUUUAUUAUAUUUCAUUAUCAUUAAUAAAGUUUUGAGAAUUAUUAUUAUUAUUAUUAUUUCUCUCUUUAAAAAAAAAAUUCAUUAAUUAAUCACCCUAAAUAAAUUUUACUCAAAUUUAUCAUUAAAGUUAAAUAGCAUUUUGGAUAGAUCAAAUUGUUGUGAUUUUACAAGAAAUCAAAUAAAGCUUUUAACGUUAGGUAAAUUUUAGACACGUUUAAAAUUUCAUCUCAAAUUAAGAAUGCAGCGUGCGUAUCUUUUUGAGACAUUUUAAAAUUCAAGGAUGUAAUAAUGCACCCUGACAAAUAUUUACUCAAAAAUUAAUUUUCACUAAUUUAAUAUAAGAGAUGUGGAUAAAUAUUUUCGGUAUAAUAAAAUGAGUGAACUUGGGCCUUUAGACAUAAUUUAUCAAAAUAGUUUAAGUCAAGAUAAGUCAAUAAAAGCGACCGUGCUAGAACCAUGGGAAUCGAGGGGUGCCUCACACCUUCCUCUCGGUCAACAGAAUUUCUUACUCGGUCUUUUGUUUUCGCAGACCAACAAAGAGUCAUUUUCUUUUUGAUUAGGGAUUCAAAAAAGGUGACUUGGAACACCAAAACUCAAUUUCAAGUGGCGACUCUGUAAAUAAAUUAAUCUCUAUUCAAUAUCGUCACUUUAAUUAGAAAAACUCUUCGACCUCGACCCUCGAGGAGAAAAAAGGGUGUGACAUUAUGAAUAUAAUUAGAUCUGUUCAUGAUGUUUAUUCUAUGGAUGCUGAAAACCUUACUGCGGGAGGACAUGUGGCACAUCUUAAUGAAUACAUAAAUGGGUUCCGUAUGCAUACUUCUGUGCCAUGGCAUACAGUGGAAGACAUUUAUAUUCUAGUAAAUAUAAAAGAAAAACGUCAUUGGGUGCUAGCAAUUUUAUGUUUCUCAGAGAGGUGCAUAUUCCUAUAUGAUUCAUAUGAAUCAUCUGGUCAUUAUUCGGUUGUUCUUAAUGUCAUUGAGAAAUUAACUACGAUUAUCCCCUUCUGUCUCGAACAUUGAUUGUGCUUUCUACGUUAAGAAAGAAAUUCAUGUUGAAAACCAUCCAAGAUACAAAGACAAAGACUCAUCAGAUAUAUUUGAUGUGUUAUUUCAAGAGAGUUUGCCUCAACAAUCGAGCGGAAGCUUGUAAGUUAUUUAAUUUACAUAUAACAAAAUUGUAUGUUUGUAAAAUAUCUAUUAAAGCACAUAUGUGUUUCUUUUUAUUGCUUUUGUAGGGAUUGUGGUGUCUAUAUGGUUACAUAUGCGGAGUGUCUUUCUUAUGGUCACAAAAUUCUUGCGAAUGAGUUCGAUCCCAAUGCACUCCGUACAAGAUAUGUUGCACUUUCGUGAGAUUAUGGGACCAGAAAGCAAGACAUAAAUGCUCAUAGUGAUGUCGAAGCACCUUUGAGGCCUCCAAGACAAAAUAGAAUAACUAGUGUAACUGAAGUUUUUGAUGUAUGAUGGAUGAUGGAUUGAUUACUUUAUAUAAUUUAGACGCUGGUUUAUAGAUGUAGGUACUGAUUAUACAAACUAAUUUUGAUGUUUUGAAGUGGCUCUGAUUGUAGGUUAUAAUAGUACUAAUUCAAGUUUAAUACGAGUCUUUUAUGAUGUUCUUCAUUUUACUGUGUGAUUUUGUUAAAAAAUACAUAUGUAUUGUUCAUAUUAUGCUUAAAAUACAUAUGCAGCAAUUUUUAUGCCUAAAAAAUACAUAUGCAGUAAUUUUUAUGCCUAAAAAAUACAUAUGUAUUUUUUUUUAGAUGACAAAAAUACAUAUGCAAUAUUAUGCCUAAGCAUUCCAAAAAUAUAUCUGAAAUUUUUAGUUAAAAUAUACAUAUGUAUUGUUCAUAUUAUGUUAAAAUACAUAUGCAAUGUUAGAAAAUACAUAUGCAGUGUUCAUAUUUUUGCUAAAAAAUAUGUACACAUUAUAAAUAAAAUUUAUCAUAAAAAUACAUAUGCAAUGUUAAUAAUAAGUUUUUCUAAAGUACAUAUUGUUCAUAACUAUUAUUUAUUUUGAUAUGUGUCCAUUUAAUAUGAUUAUAAAUGAAAACUGGAAUUAAAGAUAAUUUUGAACUUUUAAUACAAAUCUGUAAUUUAUGGUGAGAUUUUAUUUUACAUAAAUACAUAUGUAGUGUUAAUAUUUUUUUAUUAAAAAUACAUAUGUAUUAAACAUUUAAAUAUAUUUUUAUCAUAUAAACACAUAUGUUGCGCUAAGAUUUUAAAAUUCAAACAUAGAUUUGCAGAAUAUGUCAUAUGUGGCUAAAUCAAUUAACAAUUAUGAACCAAAUAAGUGUUUAGUUAAUCAAAGUUACCAACUUUAACCUAAAAAUUAUAUUCAAUGCUAAAAAUACAUAUGAACUGCACAUUCAAAAUACAUAUGCAAUAUUCAAAUCUUUCAACAUAUACAUAUGCAGAAUUCAGAUUUAACUGUGUUCACUUGUCAAAUGAUGAUUAAAAAAAUAGUUCAAGUUUAUAAAAAAUAAAAAUAAAAUUUUAAGCAAUAAUAUCGAAAGAGAAAUGUUUCAUUUUCGAUAUUUCCUACAGGAACGCCUAUUGUGACCCUUAGUCCCACAAGCACCACAUCAGUUGAUGUUCUUCUUUUCAAACAUAUCCCGUCCUGAUUUUCCACGAUCCUUCUUCGCAAGUCUUCCCGGAGGUCUUUUGUAUUUUGGAGGCAGUACUAUUUCACCAAGUACGCUCUCUGAAAUUAGCCAGUCAUCUUUGUGUGGUAACGGGUAGAUGGGAACUCAUAUAUUUUCAAAACAGUUUUUGGUUUAAACAAAUCACAACAGUAUGGCCCCUACUCAAAAUUCUUCUUCUCCAACACCGCACAAGCAUGUGCACAUGGUAUCUGAUCUAGUUGAAAUGCAUUAUCUGAGCAUUUUUUUCUUUGAGGCAAACAAUGUAGUGUUUUUGUUUGUCGUGUACCGUAUACACAUAUUCUGUGGCUGGUACAACCUGAUACAAAAAUAAAAAAUUUAAUGAUAUGCUACAAAAAGAUGAAAUUCAUAUUUAUACGAUAUGUUGUAAGCACACCAGCAUUUUUCAGAUAAAAAAAUACAUAUACAGAGUAAAAAUACAUAUGCAGAGUACAUAAUAUUUUUCUUACUUAACUUUUUAAUUUUUUUUAAAUGUUUCCAUUCAUUUAGUACUUAAUGAAAGUUAUUCUAUUAAUUAUUUUUUUCAGAAGUAUAAAUUUCAAAAAUGUAAAAGGUCAUACCGUCAUAUGAGUACACAAAGCCUCAUUCUCUUUGAGUAUGUCAUAAAACUUUCCAAUGAGUGGUGCGAAGGUAUAUGAAGCCUGUUGCCUAUUUUCGCAGUUUCAUUUUGCAAACAAUAAUCGAACCUCCUCAAGAAAGUCAUAAAUUGGCAGUUCUCUAGCUGAUACAAGUACUCCAUUCAUUGACUCCGCAAUGUUUGAAGUCAAAGUCCACCCUCGGUUAACUAUUGCAUAGGACCUAGCCCACUUUUCGUAACUAGCCAAUUCCAAAUAAUUCUUCACCCUAAUAUCAACUAGCUCAACUUUUUCCAUUAACAUUUGAAAUUCUAACUUUGAAUAUGAUUUGGCCAUUGUAUAAAAGAUCUCCGACAAUGCAUCGUGUGACUUCUUGUAAAGUUUUUUAACAUUCCCCCAUAGAUGCCACAUACAUGCAUAAUGAGGAACAUCGUUGUAUACAUCGCUAACAGCCUUUAUGAUGCUUGGAUUUCUAUCAUAAACAACACACAUGUUUUGUCUUUUCCCGUACGCUUCCUUUAGAUUCUGAAAGAACCACGUCCAUGAUACAUCAUUUUCAGAAUCAAUCACACCAUAUGCCAGAGGGAAUAUAUGACCUGUAUAUACAAAAUAAUUAUGUGCAGUAAAAUAAAAAUACAUAUAGGAACUGCAUAUGUAUUUAUUAUAUAUACAGGUAAUUAAAACUGUAUAUUUUAUCAAAUAAAUGAUAUCAAUUACAUAUAAUAAAAUUUAGACACACAUAACUAUAAAACAUAAUUAUUUUUAAAUGUUUUAAUUCAUGAAACUUUGAAACUUUAGGUAAUUUUAUACAGAUAUGUAUAUAUCUAGUGGAGAUAUGUAUUUUCAGGUGAUACGCAGAAAUACAAAAACAUACAAUAAGUUUUAUCAAUCCAUACUAACCUGCUCUAUCCAUUGUACAUGCUGUUACAAAUGCCCCAGUAUACAUUCCUCUCAGAUGACUAGUAUCAACAACUACGAACGGUCUAUAAUGAUCGAAUCAGUUAAUGAAUGAAUUUAGAGUGAUAAAAACAUACAAGAACUCAUUCUCAUCUGUCUUCUUCAUUCUUAUAUGUGACUCUGGAUAGGUAGUAUUCAGUACAUAUAAGUAUGAUGACAGUUUCCCAUAAGAUGUUGAUGGCUUACCCCUCAACUCUUCUAAUGCUCUUUCUUUCGCCCUCCAACAUAAAGUGUCUGUCAGAUCCAUACCAAAAUCUUUCUUCAUGUCAUUUCUAAUUACUGUUGCACUGUAUUUUCUUUUGUGGUUCUUGAAUUUUUGUUUAACCAUACCACCUAUCAACAUACUAGUAGCAUGCACCUUUGGACAGAUCCUGUCCUUCACCGGGCAUGUAUGUUGAGGUCUGAAUUCUCUUAUUCUAAACAGUUCAGUUUCUCCCAUUCCCGAUGCACACAUUAAAAACUCGUAUUUUCUUGAUUUGCAAAACAACGUAUACCUGUAUCCCACAUAAUUUAGUAUUUUAAAAAUACAUAUUCAAACUAAUAUUAAACAACAAUAAAGUGAUAUAGAAUGUACGUAUGUUUUCUUACUUGGCCUUUUACUUCGCAUUUGAGACUUCUCCCUAAUUGAAUAGUCCUUCAUGACUGACUUUAAAAAAAAAAUUCUCAAGUAAACCUGGUCUUCCUCAAUAUGUUUGUGAUGUGGAUCUGAGAUAAUCAACUCCACAGUAUUCAUUUCAAAUACAUCUAAUGCUUGUUUAUCUUCACAAACCACCAAAUCUCCUUCACUUGUUGUAUUUAUCAGUGUUUGAAUGUUGUCACAGUUGGUUAUUCUUUCAGCAACACACAUAGAAGAACUAGCCAUGUUGCUCCCUACCGCUUUCUCUAAAAUGCUUACAUAUAAAGGAAGACAAUUCAUGUCUUGUAUCUGCUUUUUCUAAAAUAUAAACACAUUUAAACUCAUACCAUUAUGUAUUUCUAUCUGCCCUGCAUUAGCAGUAAUUUGAUAUUCCACUAGAAUACGUUUCCUCGUUAAAUCCACAGUUAAGUGAGAUGCCAAUUCAUCGUGCAGCUCAAUAAAUGUUGCUGAUGUGCUCAACAGUAUAGCAUCAAUGAUAUAUUCUUCGUAGUUUUUUCCAUACGUCCACCGACCAGAGUGCUUCACAAGCACUGAUAUGCUUCCUAUUUCUAGUUGAUUUAACCAAAAAAAAUAAACAAAUAUAAACAUUUUGUCAAAUUAUAACUUGUUAAAACAAAUAUUUUUCAGCUUUAACUGCAAACAAACUUACACAGCCAACAUCUCCAUUCAGAAAAAAAUUUUAAACAAAAUUUGUUUAACGUAAAAUACAAACACAAAAAAAACUAUUAAACCAAAUACAGAAACUACUGAAUCGAACCGAAGAAAAACUUGUAUAAAGUAUAUUAUCAGCAAAAACAGUUAUACUGUCAAAUCCCAACAAGAAACCCAAAAAAUACAUAUGCAGUGUUAACAUUAAGCUGUUCAAAAAUACAUAUGCAGUGUUAACAUUAAACAUAUCAAAAAAUACAUAUGGAGCAUACCUAAAUUAAAUUUUGAAAUGUGUGAAUAGAAUUUCAUCACAUUCAACAGCUCAAUUCAAUCAUCCAUUGAGCAAUGAUUUUCAUAAAAUCAUUGAACCAAAUUAAACUCGAAAAUUGUUUAACUAUUUUCAUAAUCGAUUAUACAAAAUUCUGCAAAUAUACUACAAAGCUUCACAAUUUUAUCAAUUGUUAAAUCGAUCAAAAUAACAACAACCAAUACUGAAAUAAAUAGUCUAUCAAUUAAAUCUAAAAAGCUGAAACAACUAAUAAACUAAAUUUUUGCAAUGAAAAUUUUCAAUUUUGAAGGUUUUUGUUAUAUAUGUUGAAUUUCCUUCUGAUUUGAUUAAAAAUCGAAACUAAAUAGGAGCAGCAGUAAUGGCGGAAACAAAAAAUCCAACCAGAAAUACUUAAUGAUGACGUACCUUAAACAACAGUAACAGAUGAAUUUUCAACUGAUAGUUCAAUUCGAACAAUUUGAACUGAAGAAUCUAUAGCUGGAUUUGAUUCAAAGAAAUUAAUGCUUCGUUUUGAAACUGAUGUUGAAUUCGAAGAAGAUACUGUAGAAUUUCGUAUGAACAACAACAAUGGUUGAACAUCAAAACAUGGUUGAAUUAGACAAAAUUUCUCAUAAAAAUGAAAAGCAGAUUUUUUUUUUUUCUCAGAUGAACUCGUUAAUUUUGAAAACUGAAAUUUAAAAUUUGAUCAAUGCUGUUAAGCUGAAACGGAAGUCGCGUGAUUGAAGUUAUUUUAACGGAAAAGGAAUCUACAAAAUUAAUUAAUUGGUAAUUAUACCAUAUUUACCUCAACAAAUUUCAGUUAUUUAAGGGAGGUAAACUUAGUUGUAUAUGUAUUUUUUUAGCAUCAGUUUUUAAAAAUACAUAAUACAAGUUGCUACAAAAUGUAAUUAUGAAACUGUUGCUACAAAAUUAAUAAUUAGGGCCUCAAGUAUGUCAUUUCUGAAUUUUAUAUAGAGAGAGAGAUAAAUGUAGAUGGUAUCAAAUAUACAUGUAUCUCGUUUUGAAAAGGCACGGGUGCACCAAAUACAUCAUUCGAACUUGCUCCAAUUAUAUUAUAUCUGAUACAGAAUAUACUAGAUAUUAUUUGAUAACGAAUACACUAGCUAGAUGUAAUUAAUUCUAUACACGAGGUACAUUGUAUUCAAUACGAAAUUAUUAGAUCUAUAUUUGAUAUUGAAUACACAGAAUGAAAUUGGUAUCAGAUACACUACCAUGAAAUUGAUUUGGAUAUAUUAGAUACUUAAGGCACAAAUAUGUAUUUAUGUAGUGCCUGAUACACUAGAUACAGAGAAGUAGAGGAACAAGAAGGAAAGAGGUGAGCGAGCGAAACGAGAUACAUUCAUUGAAUACAUGUAUCUAGAAGCAAAUACAAUGUGUUGGCAUAAUCAUUAAAAUUAGUGGUAUGUGGAGAGAUUAGCGCGAAUACUAGUGUGCUUUACAAAAGUUGCUCAAUAUAUGGGCAGGUCCGAUGACAAUGUAAAGUAAAAAUAAUUUUUACGGUUCGGCCUAUUUCGGUCAUCCCAUUUAACUAAUACUUUUUGUAUGUAUUUCUUUCUUCUGUUUUUUUGCAUGAAUAUUUAGUAUUUUUCAAACAAAAGAACAUACUUUUUUGUGCUUCUUUUUCAGUUUUUCUGCAUCUGCUUUCAGACGCACAUGUCUGAAAUUUUAAUUAUUUUUAACGUGUGUUAUGUCAUGACUGAUCGUAGUCAUAAAUGAAAAAAAAAUUGAAAAAUAUUAGAUGGAUCUGUUAAGUUUAUUGUUAGUUGAUUAAUUGAUAAUUAAUUUUUUUAAUAACCUAACCCCACGCCUUCUAACAGCAUGACCCAACCAUUUCUAAAUUACUAUAUAUUUACAUUAGUAGAAUUGAUACAAUUGCAAAUCAAAGCAAUAUAUCCUCAUUCCUCAAUCUAUCUAAAACCCAUUCCAUGAGUCAAUAUUUGGAAAUGGCCAUUGCAAAAUGAGGUUUGUUCUUUGUUAAAUUCUUAUCAUAUAUAUUUUUCUCUAAUUAGAUGUCUAAGUUUUGAAUUCUUCGUUAUUUUCACCCUCUUUUACUCCAAUAUUAAUUCUUUACAUUGACUCCAACUCUCUUUGGCAUGCAUUCUUAGGGCAUCCAAGUCAUUUUGUUUUAGAUUUUACUUAGAUUUCAAAAGUUCAUUGCAUUUUCCUAGGUCCUUUUUGUGUUUCUUACAUUUGUAAUUAAGUUCUAAAGAUUUGGCUUUGACGUUUUCGUUAAUUAAGCACUUAGUUAUUCUCAUGUUUAAGAAUUAAUUUAUUUUGUUGUUCAUUUUAUUAGUCCUCUCCUUUGUCCCUCUUUAGCCAAUUUCUCAUGUUUAAGAAUUAAUUUAUUUUGUCGUUCAUUUUAUUCGACCUACCUCUCCUCCUCCCGAUGUCAUCCAAUGCUAGCCUCUCACACCUACGAAUUGGGGCAUCCGUGCCCCUCCUCAUUACAUGCCCAAACUAUCUCAGUCUUCCUUCCCGCAUCUUGUCCUCCACCGAAGCCCUAUUUUUUAUCUCUUAUUUCAUAUGGUGCGUAUUUAUCUUAUUUCGUAUUGCUCUGAUUUCUAUUUUAUUUUAGUAUGCCUUAUUCCUUUUUAUGUUAUGUCAUCCUUCAUGCUGCAUAUUUCAUUACACUCUUAUUUACUAUUCUCUAUUUUGAGCCGGGGUCUAUCAGAAAUAGCUUCUCUACUUCUUUGGAGGUAGCGGUAUGCAUUGCGUACAUUUUAUCUUCUCCAGACCUCAAUUUGUGGAAAUACACUGGAUUUGUUGUUGUUGUAUUUUAUUAGUCCUCUCCUUUGUCCCUCUUUAGCCAAUCACUCUCCCUAUAAAAAUCUCUUUGGUGUUCCCUUGCUAAAGAAAUGGACGGUAAAUAUAACUUAACCCUAAAAGCUAAAAAAUUUAGGUGACCUGAUAAAUUAAAAUGCUCAUGCAAUAAUCUUAUAUUAAAAUGGAUUAAGAUAAAUGUUCAAAAUUUAUAUCUAGCAUCCUCCCAAUUUACACUAGCAUAAAUGCACGUGUCUAGAUUUAUGUGCAGAUCAAUUUACUAAGUAAUUUUUCAGCUAGCUUUCGUUUGUUAAAUCUUAAGAGCAAGGUAUUAGAGAAAACGUAGUGUUAUACUAUUUUGUUUAGUUUUUUAAAUCUAACGUAGUGUUCAAAUUAUUUAAUAUUUGUAUUGUUUAGGUUAAAACGUAGUGUGUAAUUUGAAAUCAUGCGAUUUCAUCUCCUGAUAUGAAAUUUCAAGUUCUCUAAAAAUUGUGAUUUGGGAUUUCAUAUCAUGAUUUGAGAUUUUUUUAAAUACAAACGUUGACCCACAAAAUAUAAAAAAAAAAAAAACAUCAUUUAUAUCUAACAAUCAUUUAUUUCAUAUGUAAAUAAAAUUUAUAGUUAAUAUUAUUAAUCUUUAAAUUAUUUACAUAUUAUAUAACAAUUACUCUCACUAACAUAAAAUUUAUUAUUACUUCAAACCAACUCCACUUUACCUAUGUGGGAGGAUUACAUUAAGGAGUAGUACACUAAAAUUCAUGUUCAAUUUUAACUUUUUAUUGAACUAAAGUUUAAUCAAUAAAUAUUUUUUUUUAUAAUAACUUUAUGAUAGUGCAUUAUAGUAUGUUAUAAACUUUUGCUUAUUUGAUAAGAUUUUAAAAGGGAUAAUACCCACGAAAAUACCUGAAGUUUGACCGGAUUACCAGUUGAGCAUACUGAACUUUGCGGGGGGUCCUAUUACCCCCAAUCUUUUUUCGUAUUUUAAUGGCAUAUAUCUGACACUUGGCACACUAUGUGUGAUUCACGCGCACUGAGCGCGUGAACAACGUUAAAAACGUUUUAAACUCUUUUUUUUUGCCAAACAGACCCUUAAUCUUAUAAUUAUUUAAAAAUUUAUAUUUUUAUUUAUUUUUUCAUUCUUCUUUCUUCUUUUUUCUUUCUUCUUUCUUCUUUCUUCUUUCUCCAACAAUGGUUGCUCCAUUGUUGAAUUGAAAUUUAAUGGAAUUUAAUGAUUAUAAUUUAAUGAAACUCGUUAAUUGAAACUCAAUGGAUGAUUCGAAAGAUUCAAACUUGGAAACUCGCUAAUUUAAUUCCGAGUUCCAUUAAUGAAAAUUGAAUCUUUCGAGUUCCAUUAACAGAAGAUUGAAUAGUUUCAUACAUGAAAUUAAAUUUUUCGAAUCUUCUGAGUUCCAUUAAUGAAUUUUUUGAAUCUUCCGAGUUUCAUUAACGGAAGAUUGAAUAGCUUCAUACAUGAAAUUAAAUUUUUCGAAUCUUCCGAGUUCCAUUAAUAAAUAUUUCAAAUCUUUCGAGUUCCAUUAAUGGAAAUUGAAUCAUGAAAUUAAAUUUUUUGAAUCUUUUGAGUUCCAUUAAUUUGCGAGUUCCAUUCAAUUAGCGAGUUUCAUUGAAUCUUUCAUUAAUGGAACUCGCUAAUUGAAUCUUUCGAGUUUCAAUGGAAAAUUAAUGGAAGAUUCCAUUCAAUUAUUUGAAAAAACUUUUUUCAUAAAUUCAAUGGAAUCAUUUGGAAUAUUUAAUAUGGUUGUAAUUGUGAAAAAAUAUUGAAAAGUGAUAAAAUGGAGAAGAAACGGCGCGUGCACCGCACUUUCCACCGAAAAAACUGGGUAUACGUUUGUGGGGAGGGAUUAAUUGCACUUUAAAAAAGUUCGGGGGGGAAUUAAUUCCAAUUUAAAAAGUAUAGGGGGGUAAUAGGACCCCCGCAAAGUUCAAUAUGCUCCACUGGGAAUUUGGUUAAACUUCAGGUAUUUUCGUGGAUAUUAUCCCAUUAUAAAAAGAAUUGAACCAACUUUGAUAGUUUCCACAACUUAUUGAGGUUUUUAGUUUCAUAAAAAAAUAUACAACAUAAAACAAUCUAAAUUACAUGUCCAAACAAAACGUCAAUAUCUUAUUAAGACUCCAUUUUUAAGUGGUGAGCAUAACAUAUUACAAUUAUCUCAAUCCUUUUUCAGUAUUUUCCGACGGUCCAGUUAUAGUAAAAGGGGAAAAGGCUCAAAUAUGUCACUGAACUAUCAGAAAUAGCUCAUUUAUGUCAUCCGUUAACAGUUGGGCUCAUUCAUGUCAUCGCCGUUACAAAAUUGGCUCAUCCAUGCCAUUACUUUUAACAGCCGAUUUUUAGAAAACAGCUUUGCCACGUGGCAGCAUAUUAGAGGUCCACGUCAUUUUUAAAAAAAAAAAUUUGAUGCAUUAAAAAGAAUCCACCCAACUUUUUGAUCCAUUAAAAAUUAGUUUGAUCUAUUCUUUUAAACUCUGAGAUUAUUUGUAUAUUGCCCCAUAGCAAUAGUUUUUUUUUUUUUUUCCUUUUCUGGCUUUCACAUGUGACUCUGUUUACAAUUCGGAUCAAUAAUAUGAUCAUCUCCCUUUGAACUAAGUUUACUUGAUUAAUUACUGUUAAUGAGUUAAUUUUGAGAUUAUUUGUGUAUCACUUCAUAUCAUCUGAGUAUUUAUAGUUACCAAGCUCAUCGACUUUUUUUUUGUUGUAGGCGGCUUAAAAUUGUGGUCAAAUAUAGUAAAUUGAUCCAUAGACAAGCAAAGACAAUAAGAUAAUACGUCUCAUGCCGUCACUUUAUCAUCCUCAUACCCAUCCUGCAAAAAUUUCAGUACAGUGGCGUUGAUAUCAAUUAUUGUUCUAAUUAAUUACCAUAAAAUACUUUUAAUAUUGUAUGAUAUCAUUCGCUUUGAACCAAAUUGACUUUUUUUUUUCAAGAGACGUUAAAUAUCCGACAUUUUAUAAAUAAAUUUCAUUUCUUUUUUACGUUUCACAUGGGACAUUGUUCUCUCAAACACUCAUUAUACUGCUCCCUUUCAUCUUUUUUAAUAUGUCGUUUAAUGUUUGACACAAUCAUAUAUUAAGAUAAUUAUUUGACAAUCAACAUUAAUCAUUGGAGGUAGAAUAUUUGUCUAAAUUACAAUUAUGCUUUUCUUAAAUUACAAUUUGAUUUAAUGAUACAGUUACAUAAAAAUUGGUGAGACGUCAUAAUUUUAUAUCCUUGUAUAAUUAAUUUUAAGUGGUCCAAUCCUAAUUAGAAAUUGAAUAAAAACAAUAUAUAAGUCAUGCAUGCAAAUUACAACUCACAAUUAUUAUGUAAGUAUAAUAUUUAUCAUUUCAUUAUCUACUUAAUUCAAUGAAUUGAUUAAUUCCAAAAUUUUAUUGUUCUUUUCUCUUUAAUGAAAUAAAAUAUCUAAGAAGAAAGAAUAAAAUUAAGAUGACAUGAAAUUUGUAUAAUAUAGUCUAAGGCCAAUUGGCAUAUAUAAAAGCAAAAGUAAAUUCAAUAUAUUUUUGAUAAGUUAGAUAACAUGGGAGUAUAUAUAUUUGUGUGGGAGUGUAAAAUAAAUUAAUGUAUAACAUGGGAGUAGUGUAAAAUAAAUUAAUGUAUAACAUGGGAGUAUAUAUAUGUUAAUUGAUUUCUUCAUAUAUAUUUUUAUGUUAUUUUAAAAUCUUUUAAUGAAAAUUUUGACUCUACUAUUAACCAUAGAUCAAACUAAUUUUUAAUGGAUCAAAAAGUUGGGUGAAUUCUUUUUAAUGGAUAAAAAAAUUAAAAACUAAAAAAUGACGUGAACCUCUAAUAUGUCGCCACGUGGCAAAGUCGUUUUCUAAAAACCGGCUGUUGAAAGUAAUGGAAUGGAUGGGUCAGUUUUGUUACGGCGAUGGCAUGAAUGAGCUCAACUUUUAGCGGAUGGCAUAAAUGAGUCAUUUCUGAUAGUUCAGUGUCAUAUUUGAGGCUUUUCUCAAUUCAUCAAACCUACAACAUUUUCAAUACCUUCAAAAGUAAUUUUUGUUUCCAGCAUUAUUAUAAAUAUGAGUUGUACUAAUGUGAAGUUUCCCAAACUAGUGUAUGUAGUAAUAUAAAUAAAUAGAUGGUGACUCCUAGUUAAUAUAAAGCAAGCCAAAUUUACAACACUGUUCUCUACCACUACCUUGAAAGGUAGAAAAUUGUUUCCGAUAGACAGAGAGGUAAUGACAGUAAGAAAGAUUAAAAACAGAAUAAACUAUUUUUUUUUAACAUUUCACAGUACAAAAGAAGCAUGUUACUGCAGGAGCACUUGAAAAACUCAAUCAACACAAGCAAAACCACACAAACAAACAAACAAACAAACAAAACAUUACUGUCUUAUUUGUCAUUCUAUGCAUAAUGCAUGAGUCUCUUGAAAUCACCAACUGAAGCUGAUGGACUCAAAGUGAAGGUUGGAUGCUAAACCAGAUGAACAUAUGUUUGCAACUUCAUGUCUCAUCUUUUUUGGCCCACACACUAGAACUCCAACACUUGAUUCUUUCCUCUCAAAAAAUAUCCCUGCAUCACAUUAAUUUUACAACUUAUUAAUGCGGAGUUUUUACUGGAAAGUAAAAAUGGAUGGAUGAAGUAAUAUUUUCUGUGAUGAACUUACUUUUGAGGUCAGGUCUUUCACCAAAAUGGAGAUUAGUUGAUUGAAAGAGUGACUGUUGAGGCAAACUCUCCAUCUCCCUAUCAGCAUUAUAGAACCAAGAAUUAGGUGAAGUCAUAGGAGUUGCACCUUCCAUAUUCUGAAUCUGUUUUGCAUCAGUGCCACUAUGUCUCUUGUUCCAAACAAAUGCUGCACUACUUGUUAUGACUAUGGAUAUGCAAAUGAUUAGCAUAUUCAGCACAGCCUUUGUUGGAUAAGAGAAUAUCUUAUUAGUAUUUUUGUCAACUGGAUAUAUGUAGUAUCUAUUCAAGACCCCCAAAGAAAUCAAGAAAAUGAUGAAGGAAGAUGAUAUGAUAGCACCAAGCCAGAGCCAAUUGUUUUGGCCAAGAACUGGUGUGAUGGGCUCAUCUGACGGGUUGGGCUUGAACCAUAUGGUCCUCAAGUUCUUCUUAUCUUCUGCUGGUGUGGAUUGCUUUUCUCUUGUUACAAAAGCCUCAAUUUGUAGGCCUAAUUUACAAGUUUCUGAUGGGGCACCAGAUAUAGGAAGUAGAAGGUCCAACAUGGUGAGGUCUUGUGAGCUCUUGAACACACUUAUGAGUAGUAUUUCUGGUGUAUUGCAUUUUUGUGACUCACUUGUGUGGAUUAGCUCCCUAAUUAUGGAAAUGAAAGGUGUAAUUCCACUUCCUCCACUCACCAUAACCA
rnacentral:lncRNA from 1 species